UACAGAGGUCUCAAGCGUUGUUCGGAUUCAUUGGGCGUAAAGGGUGUGUAGGUGGCGCCGUAAGUCGGGUGUGAAAUUUUGGAGCUUAACUCCGAAACUGCAUUCGAUACUGCGGUGCUUGAGGACUGGAGAGGAGACUGGAAUUCAUGGUGUAGCAGUGAAAUGCGUAGAGAUCAUGAGGAAGACCAGUGGCGAAGGCGGGUCUCUGGACAGUUCCUGACACUGAGACACGAAGGCCAGGGGAGCAAACGGG
rnacentral:rRNA from 1 species